rnacentral:lncRNA from 1 species
AGCAUGUGGAAAGUCAGUUUGCCCAUCCAUAAAAUGGACCUCCGUUGCCUCACCUCAGUCAUGGAUAUGAAGCCAGGGGCCUCGGGUCCACUUAAUCUGCCAGCCUUUCCUCCAGGCCAGCUGUUGUGCUGGACAGUGGGACCACGGAGGCAAAUCAAGACACAGCCCUGCAUGAGGAAGGGGUAGACAAGGUCCAGAGGAAUCCACAGAGGCGCCUGGUGCUCUAAUGGAGGUGGCAGGGGGCAUGGCAGGAGACCCGAGGAGGCAUUUAG